rnacentral:lncRNA from 1 species
GACUUUCAUAGAACAUGAAGGAGAAGGGUUUCCCCCCUUACUCACUUAGUUUACAAAAUCUGCUACAAUGAGCUUUUAUAUGCAUUACAACUUGAAAGAAUAAACCUAAGAUCUAUGGCUGUGCUUUUCUAAUUUGAAUAGACGACCUGGAUCAGUCUUGAUGGUCAGAUGUGGUCUGUACACGAGCUGGAUAGGAAAGGAGAGAUGAAAGGCCAAGAUCUCUUUGUUUGAAAUGGAUGGCUAUAAAGGCUCACAUGCUUGUACAGCUUGCAUAAUCAUGUGGAGUCAAAGAUGCUUUCUUGGCAGCUUAUGACAGCCUGUCUAGGACCACAUACAGCUCCUCCCUUAUCCUCCAACGUCCAUAAGCUCAGACUUAGCUUCUCUUGCGCCCUAAGAUUUCCCA